rnacentral:rRNA from 1 species
AUUGAACGCUGGCGGCAGGCCUAACACAUGCAAGUCGAGCGAGCGGCGGACGGGUGAGUAAUGUAUGGGGACUGCCCGAUAGAGGGGGAUAACUACUGGAAACGGUGGCUAAUACCGCAUACUAUCGGAUAACCCAUAUGGGAUUAGCUAGUAGGUGGGGUAAAGGCUCAACUAGGCGACGAUCUCUAGCUGGUCUGAGAGGAUGAUCAGCCACAGGGGAACUGGAAAAGGGCCAAGACUCCUACGGGGGCAGCAUGGGGGAAUAAUGCACAAUGGGCGCAAGCCGGAUGCAGCCAUGCGGCGAGUAUGAAGAAGGCCUUAGGGUUGUAAAGUACUUGCAGCGGGGAGGCGUUACCCGCAGAAGAAGCACCGGCUAACUCGGAGCCAGCAGCCGCGGUAAUAC